UACGGAGGGGGCUAGCGUUGUUCGGAAUUACUGGGCGUAAAGCGCACGUAGGCGGUCUGUUAAGUCGGGGGUGAAAUCCUGGGGCUCAACCUCAGAAUUGCCUCCGAUACUGGCAGUCUCGAGUGCGGGAGAGGUGAGUGGAAUUCCCAGUGUAGAGGUGAAAUUCGUAGAUAUUGGGAAGAACACCAGUGGCGAAGGCGGCUCACUGGCCCGUAACUGACGCUGAGGUGCGAAAGCUAGGGGAGCAAACGGG
rnacentral:rRNA from 1 species